rnacentral:tRNA from 1 species
CUCUGGGAGAUGCAGAUGGUUAAUAUUUUUGGCUGCUAACCAAAAGGUUGGUGGUUCAAGUCCACUCAGAGA